rnacentral:rRNA from 1 species
AUUGAACGCUGGCGGCAGGCCUAACACAUGCAAGUCGAGCGGAUGGGUGGAGCUUGCUCCAUGAUUCAGCGGCGGACGGGUGAGUAAUGCCUAGGAAUCUGUCUGGUAGUGGGGGACAACGUUUCGAAAGGAACGCUAAUACCGCAUACGUCCUACGGGAGAAAGUGGGGGAUCUUCGGACCUCACGCUAUCAGAUGAGCCUAGGUCGGAUUAGCUAGUUGGUGAGGUAAAGGCUCACCAAGGCGACGAUCCGUAACUGGUCUGAGAGGAUGAUCAGUCACACUGGAACUGAGACACGGUCCAGACUCCUACGGGAGGCAGCAGUGGGGAAUAUUGGACAAUGGGCGAAAGCCUGAUCCAGCCAUGCCGCGUGUGUGAAGAAGGUCUUCGGAUUGUAAAGCACUUUAAGUUGGGAGGAAGGGCAGUAAGUUAAUACCUUGCUGUUUUGACGUUACCAACAGAAUAAGCACCGGCUAACUUCGUGCCAGCAGCCGCCGUAAGAC